CACGUAUCUUUGGAUAUUGAUAAAAUAUAUCAGAUAAUUGAUUAGUGCUUAAAAUAAAAAUUUUCAAAUUCAUAUCUUUUAUCUAUAGCAUUUAGAAUGUGUAUAAAAGCUACAACUUACUAGGCAGUUUUAUAAAAAUUCGUUUCCCUCCCCCUCCUUUGAUCUGAGAUAAGGAGGGGGAGGGGUGUGAUGCUGCGCAGUUGUUGAUCGCAGCGAACAUGGCAGGAUAGGAUUCAAAGACAAUUCAAUUUGAGCGUUACCCUCCCCCUCCUUUCGCCUACGGGAAGGAGGGGGAGGGUUGUGAAGCUGUGCAGUUGCUGGACGCAGCGAAGAUGGCGCAGCCAAUACUUUUGACGAUUUUUAAGGCUCACCCCUCCUCCUCCUGUGGUCUGAGAUAAGGAAAUGAGGAGGAGGGAGGGUGUAAAGCUGAACAGUUGCUGUACGCGGCGAACAUGGCGUAUCAAAUAUUUCUCAUAAUUUUUAAAGGUUCUCGGUGCCUGCAUCUUCAGCACCUGACGGACGUUCCUGUACGAGUUGGAAGUUUUCACAUAAAGCAGUUAUUUAAUACAGAAGCGACUUUGUAACUAGUAUAAUACGUGCAAUCUAAAUGCCGGACCUGAAGUUUGUCUCUCUAUGAUAUCUUUCCAUCACUUAAUUUCAGACCCGCCAACUUAGACCACGCGUAUUGUAAUUAAGAUAAUUUUAAUGUUGCUUUGUUAUAUACAUAUAUUGCCAUUUAUUUAACAAAGCAACCGGCUAGUGCUAGUGGAAGUUACUAAGUAU